rnacentral:rRNA from 1 species
GAAACGAUAGCUAAGACCGGAUAACUGGUUUUCUCGCAUGAGAGAAUCAUGAAACACGGAGCAAUCUGUGGCUGAUAGAUGGGCCUGCGGCGCAUUAGCUAGUUGGUAGGGUAACGGCCUACCAAGGCGACGAUGCGUAGCCGACCUGAGAGGGUGAACGGCCACACUGGGACUGAGACACGGCCCAGACUCCUACGGGAGGCAGCAGUAGGGAAUCUUCCGCAAUGGACGCAAGUCUGACGGAGCAACGCCGCGUGAGUGAUGAAGGUUUUCGGAUCGUAAAGCUCUGUUGCCCUAGACGAACAGCAAGGCGAGUAACUGCGCUUUGUGUGACGGUAUAGGAGAAGAAAGCCCCGGCUAACUACGUGCCAGCAGCCGCGGUAAUACGUAGGGGGCAAGCGUUGUCCGGAAUUAUUGGGCGUAAAGCGCGCGCAGGCGGUUAAUUAAGUUGGGUGUUUAAGCCCGGGGCUCAACCCCGGUUCGCAUCCAAAACUGGUUGA